rnacentral:rRNA from 1 species
AGUGAACGCUGGCGGUAGACCUAACACAUGCAAGUCGAACGGCAGCACAGUAAGAGCUUGCUCUUACGGGUGGCGAGUGGCGGACGGGUGAGGAAUACAUCGGAAUCUACUUUUUCGUGGGGGAUAACGUAGGGAAACUUACGCUAAUACCGCAUACGACCUACGGGUGAAAGCAGGGGAUCUUCGGACCUUGCGCGAUUGAAUGAGCCGAUGUCGGAUUAGCUAGUUGGCGGGGUAAAGGCCCACCAAGGCAACGAUCCGUAGCUGGUCUGAGAGGAUGAUCAGCCACACUGGAACUGAGACACGGUCCAGACUCCUACGGGAGGCAGCAGUGGGGAAUAUUGGACAAUGGGCGCAAGCCUGAUCCAGCCAUACCGCGUGGGUGAAGAAGGCCUUCGGGUUGUAAAGCCCUUUUGUUGGGAAAGAAAAGCAGCAGGUUAAUACCCCGCUGUUCUGACGGUACCCAAAGAAUAAGCACCGGCUAACUUCGUG